UAGGGAAUCUUCGGCAAUGGGGGGAACCCUGACCGAGCAACGCCGCGUGAGUGAAGAAGGUUUUCGGAUCGUAAAGCUCUGUUGUUAAGGAAGAACGAGUGUGAGAAUGGAAAGUUCAUACUGUGACGGUACUUAACCAGAAAGGGACGGCUAACUACGUGCCAGCAGCCGCGGUAAUACGUAGGUCCCGAGCGUUGUCCGGAUUUAUUGGGCGUAAAGCGAGCGCAGGCGGUUAGAUAAGUCUGAAGUUAAAGGCAGUGGCUCAACCAUUGUAGGCUUUGGAAACUGUUUAACUUGAGUGCAGAAGGGGAGAGUGGAAUUCCAUGUGUAGCGGUGAAAUGCGUAGAUAUAUGAAGGAACACCGGUGGCGAAAGCGGCUCUCUGGUCUGUAACUGACGCUGAGGCUCGAAAGCGUGGGGAGCGAACAGG
rnacentral:rRNA from 1 species